rnacentral:tRNA from 13 species
UGACCCGGACGUGAUUUGAACACGCAGCCUUCUGAUCUGGAGUCAGACGCGCUACCGUUGCGCCACCGCGUC